rnacentral:rRNA from 1 species
AUUGAACGCUGGCGGCAUGCUUUACACAUGCAAGUCGAACGGCAGCGCGGGCUUCGGCCUGGCUGCGAGUGGCGAACGGGUGAGUAAUGCAUCGGAACGUGCCCAGCAGUGGGGGAUAGCCCGGCGACAGCCGGAUUAAUACCGCAUACGACCUGAGGGUGAACGCGGGGGACCGAAAGGCCUCGCGCUAUUGGAGCGGCCGAUGUCGGAUUAGCUAGUUGGUGGGGUAAAGGCUUACCAAGGCGACGAUCCGUAGCUGGUCUGAGAGGACGACCAGCCACACUGGGACUGAGACACGGCCCAGACUCCUACGGGAGGCAGCAGUGGGGAAUGUUGGACAAUGGGGGCAACCCUGAUCCAGCCAUGCCGCGUGCGGGAAGAAGGCCUUCGGGUUGUAAACCGCUUUUGUUCGGGAAGAAAUCCUCUGGGCUAAUACCCCGGGGGGAUGACGGUACCGGAAGAAUAAGCACCGGCUAACUACGUG